CUAAAGCAUGCAAGUCGAACGCUUCCUUCGGGAAGAGUGGCGAACGGGCGAGUAACGCGUUCCUAACGUGCCCCAAGGCAGGGGAUAGCUGGGGGAAACCCAGGUAAUACCCGAUGACCCGGCGAGUCGCAUGGCUGGUCGGAAAAGUUCCGGCGCCUUGGGAUCGGGGAACGUCCUAUCAGGUUGUUGGUGGGGUAAUGGCCUACCAAGCCAGAGACGGGUAGCGGGUGUGAGAGCACGACCCGCCGCAUCGGGACUGAGACACUGCCCGGACUCCUACGGGAGGCUGCAGCAACGAAUCUUCCGCAAUGGGCGAAAGCCUGACGGAGCAAUGCCGUGUGCGGGAUAAGCCCUAUGGGGUGUAAACCGCUGUCAGGGGAAAGAAAUUCUGAUCUACCCCAGAGGAAGGGCCGGCUAACUUCGUGCCAGCAGCCGCGGUAAUACGAAGGGCCCGAGCGUUAAUCGGAAUCACUGGGCUUAAAGAGCGUGUAGGCGGACAUGUAAGUGCUUUGUGAAAUCCCACAGCUCAACUGUGGAACUGCUCGGCAAACUACAUGUCUUGAGGUCGGUAGGGGUCACUGGAACUGUAGGUGGAGCGGUGAAAUGCGUAGAUAUCUACAGGAACGCCAAUGGUGAAGACAGGUGACUGGGCCGGUCCUGACGCUGAGACGCGAAAGCGUGGGGAGCAAACGGGAUUAGAUACCCCGGUAGUCCACGCCGUAAACGAUGUGCACUGGGUCGCGAGGUUCCACAACAGCGCGGCCGAAGCUAAAGUAUUAAGUGCACCGCCUGGGGAGUACGGUCGCAAGGCUAAAACUCAAAGGAAUUGACGGGGGCUCACACAAGCGGUGGAACAUGUGGCUUAAUUCGAAGCAACGCGAAGAACCUUAUCCUAGGCUUGACAUGUACGGAUUAGCUUCCUGAAAGGGAAGUGACGCUCUUUGAGUGGAACGUACACAGGUGCUGCAUGGCUGUCGUCAGCUCGUGCUGUGAAGUGUCGGGUUAAGUCCCUUAACGAGCGAAACCCCUGUCGCUAGUUGCCAGCGGUCCGGCCGGGGACUCUAGCGAGACUGCCGGUGUCAAACCGGAGGAAGGUGGGGACGACGUCAAGUCAUCAUGGCCUUUAUGCCUAGGGCUGCACACGUGUUACAAUGGCGGGUACAAAGGGCGGCGAUACCGCAAGGUGGAGCAAAUCCCAAAAAGCCCGCCCCAGUUCAGAUCGGGGUCUGCAACUCGACCCCGUGAAGGUGGAAUCGCUAGUAAUCGCGUAUCAGCAUGACGCGGUGAUACGUUCCUGAGCCUUGUACACACCGCCCGUCAAGUCAUGGAAGCUGGGAGCACCCGAAGUCGCUACGCU
rnacentral:rRNA from 1 species